UACGGGGGGGGCAAGCGUUGUUCGGAAUUACUGGGCGUAAAGGGCUCGUAGACGGCCAACUAAGUCAGAUGUGAAAUCCCCAGGCUCAACCUGGGAACUGCAUGUGAUACUGGUUGGCUUGAAUUCGGGAGAGGGAUGCAGAAUUCCAGGAGUAGCGGUGAAAUGCGUAGAUAUCUGGAGGAAUACCGGUGGCGAAGGCGGCAUCCUGGACAAAGACUGGCGCUCAGGUGCGAAAGCGUGGGGAGCAAACAGG
rnacentral:misc_RNA from 1 species